AUCGUGAUCCCAGACUCGGGGAAGAGAAGCGCCGUCAUUACUGUGGAAGAGUUCAUUGUCGUCUGAUCAGCAGUGGUGAAAACCCUAGUAGAACUGUGUAGUGGCGAUGAAGAUCGACUGACAGGAGCAAAGUUAUUAGACACAAUGGGGUAAUUUGGGAGGGGAGGCUGGAGCGAUGCCAUUUCUCACAAAUAGUUCAGAUCGGCAGCGGAGAUUGCAGCGCCGACGUCGAGAGAGCAACGUGCGUUUAGCGACGCCCGCUGCCUUGCCGGAGCAGCUCGCUGUGGAGUAGGCCGCGCGACGUCGAUGGCGUCGCUGCU
rnacentral:lncRNA from 1 species